rnacentral:rRNA from 1 species
GAUGAACGCUGGCGGCGUGCCUAAUACAUGCAAGUCGAGCGAACGGACGAGAAGCUUGCUUCUCUGAUGUUAGCGGCGGACGGGUGAGUAACACGUGGAUAACCUACCUAUAAGACUGGGAUAACUUCGGGAAACCGGAGCUAAUACCGGAUAAUAUUUUGAACCGCAUGGUUCAAAAGUGAAAGACGGUCUUGCUGUCACUUAUAGAUGGAGCCGCGCUGCAUUAGCUAGUUGGUAUGGUAACGGCUUACCAAGGCAACGAUGCAUAGCCGACCUGAGAGGGCGAUCGGCCACACUGGAACUGAGACACGGUCCAGACUCCUACGGGAGGCAGCAGUCGGGAAUCUUCCGCAAUGGGCGAAAGCCUGACGGAGCAACGCCGCGUGAGUGAUGAAGGUCUUCGGAUCGUAAAACUCUGUUAUUAGGGAAGAACAUAUGUGUACGUAACUUUGCACAUCUUGACGGUACCUAAUCAGAAAGCCACGGCUAACUACGUG